UGUGCGUGUGCGUGCCCUCAUAUUCCUACCGUUGUGGACACAUUUGUAUGAUUUUGACCUUCGUUGUGGACACAUUUUUCGUUGUGGACACCGGAACAUGGUGUCCACAAAGAUCACACCUCCAGACAAGUCAGAGAGGGGUUAUCUUCCCUUUAAAUCAGGAACUGUCAACCAACGUUAUGGACCAGUGAAACGCACACCUUGACUGGUGAAUUAAACUUGUAAAUUUUAUGUUUCGCUCACACAGAGAUCCGUGCGGUAACCUGACACCGCAGUGUAGCAAUUAUAUUUACCGAGGCAGUCUGAAGGGCAAUUUGCAGUAAUUUCUGAUAAAACAGGCGAUAAUAUGUUUUAUGAACCCCAUCUGUCCCUAAUUUAUGUCAGCAGAGAAAGUUAAUUCAAUGCGGAAUAUUUCACAUGCCGGUUAAGACAAUGGGAAAGGUAAUGUUUUUUACUACUUCAUAGCUUGUUACUUAUAGUUUUUCCGUUUUUCUUACUUUAAUUAAUUUGAGAAAUAUGUAUUUGAUAUGUGUUUAAAGAACGUUGUUAAACAAUACAAUGCUACCAAUCUCUGAUUUCAAAGUGUUUUAAUAACAUAACUGAUCAUCAUGGAGAAAGAUUUAUAUGCUAUUGAUCGUUAGAUUUUUAAAUAUUGCGGUCUUACGCGAUAAGGAAAAAUAAUUUCAAAUAGUUUUUCUCUCACUUCUAGGCUUUACUUGGAAAAGUGGUUGUUAAAGGACAUGUGUAUCCAAUAAUGAAUCCAUACUGUCUGUUUGGAAGUGCUGACGGCUGUGAUAUAAUAGUUAAAGACACGAUUCCGACGCAUUUUCAAAUAGAGUUUAAUUCUGAGAAGCAGGCAUUCCUCAGAUGUUUCAAACUAGUUACUCUCGAUGGACAAGUCGUCAGCGGUGUGGCCCUUCUUCCCGAUGUUGCGGUCAUAUUAAUAAAUGGAAAAGAAUUCCAAAUUCUAUAACAGGUAUUUUUACAAUAAGUAUGAUGCAUCUUUAGCAAGCAAAUGUAAAAUGAAUUUGUAAUUUUGCAUUCAAGUAUUGAAGAAAAUACUAAGAGUAUACACAGUUGAAAGUAAUAUAACUAUUUGAACAACCAUAAUUAUGGGAGUGAAGGUAUGUCGCAGUGUCAAGGAACGGAACUGGGCUUUAACCAUUCGAUUCUACAGACAUUAUGUACAUCUA